rnacentral:rRNA from 1 species
GACGAACGCUGGCGGCGUGCCUAAUACAUGCAAGUAGAACGCACAGUUUAUACCGUAGCUUGCUACACCAUAGACUGUGAGUUGCGAACGGGUGAGUAACGCGUAGGUAACCUGCCUGGUAGCGGGGGAUAACUAUUGGAAACGAUAGCUAAUACCGCAUAAUAUUGAUUAUUGCAUGAUAAUUGAUUGAAAGAUGCUAUUGCAUCACUACCAGAUGGACCUGCGUUGUAUUAGCUAGUAGGUGAGGUAACGGCUCACCUAGGCGACGAUACAUAGCCGACCUGGGAGGGGGAUCGGCCACACUGGGACUGAGACACGGCCCAGACUCCUACGGGAGGCAGCAGUAGGGAAUCUUCGGCAAUGGACGAAAGUCUGACCGAGCAACGCCGCGUGAGUGAAGAAGGUUUUCGGAUCGUAAAGCUCUGUUGUAAGAGAAGAACGGGUGUGGGAGUGGAAAGUGCACACUGUGACGGUAUCUUACCAGAAAGGGACGGCUAACUACGUG